CUCUUUUUAAAAAAAGAAGAAAAUAAUUAAUGUUUAUGGAAAGAUAAAAAAAUAUAGUUUGAGUGGUACAUUGAAUGGAUAACUGUCACCAACUAGAGCUAAUACAUGCCAAAGCCUCACGGUUGCAUUUAUUAGAUAUUCCAAUUAGGUGAACCAUAAUAACUUCUCAAAUCUCGGUUUUGCCGAGAUAAAUCAUCCAAGUUUCUGCCUUAUCAUGCUUUCGUUGGUAGUGUAUUGGACUACCAUGGCUCUCACGGGUAACAGGGAAUUAGGGUUCGACCCCGGAGAGGCGCCUGAGAACGGCUACUUUAUCUACGGAAGGCGCAGGCCCCACCUUACCCAUCCUGACUCAUGAGGUGUGACAAGUAUAUGACGCUAUGAAAAUAGUGA
rnacentral:rRNA from 1 species